ensembl:lncRNA
UGCCGGUGUUCUGGAUUAAUGUCAUGACAGAACACCCUGAGAUCGCCACAACAGCACUGAAAACCCCGUUGCCAUUUCCGGGCUUUUCUGCAGUGACAGCAACCAAAACAAAAUUACGGAGUAGACUGGACAUAAGCAACACACUCCGGAUGUCAUUGUCUCCCAUUAGCCCUAGAUGGGACCGUCUCAUUACAGAGAAACAGGCUCAGGGCUCCCACUGUUUCAGCGUUAUGGUGUGUUCAUGCUGUUCCUGGUGAACGUAGUUCCAGCUGCAGGUUCUACCACAGAACUCCUGUCAUGCUGCUUUCAGCAGCUUGGUAAUAGAUCAGUGGUGUACAUACUGAACAACACCGUGGAGUCCGAUUUCACACAGUGGACCAGAAACAAGACACCCAUUAAGGAUGAACAUGGCAAUGUGGACAAGAGCAUUGUCAUAGGCUAUGGUCAGAACUGGAUCACUCUAAAUCAGAGUUACUUAGACAUUGUAUUCUACUUUCAGACAUAUGAUAUGAUGAAAAAUCAAGAAGUUCAAUGUACAGAUUUGUGUGAACCGGGAUCAGCUAACCUUCCGAUUGGAGAGAAGCAUGAGACAAAUCAGCGUGAUGGAGGUGACGGAGGUUUGUAUCACACGCAGAUAAACUUUGUUAUUUCUUGCAGCAGAUUGUUUUAGGAAUAGACAUAUGGUAUAUUUACAAAAAUUAUAUUUGUUGCCAGCGGUUUAGACAUUAAUGGCUGUGUGUUGAGUUAUUUUAAGGGGACAGCAAAUUUACACUGUUCCACAAGCUGUACACUCACUACUUUACAUUGUAGCAAAGUGUCAUGUCUUCAGUGUUGUCACAUGAAAAGAUAUUAUCAAAUAUUUAUAAAAAUGUGAGGGGUGUACUCACUUUUGAGAUAUACUGUGUGU